rnacentral:tRNA from 1 species
AGCAGCGUAGCUCAGUGGAAAGAGCCUGGGCUUUGGAGUCAGAGGUCAUGGGUUCGACUCCCGGCUCUGCCA